AUUUAUUGCAAAUUAUUUGUUUAUUAUUAGCAAAGAGCUAUCCACCAGUUGGUGGCGCUAACAGCGGUAUUGAGUGCGCUAUGUUACAGUAGAUGGCGCUACAAACAUUAAAAACAUUAAAUGAAAAUGCGUUGUUUGAAGUUUAUAUUAUUUGUGGUAAAGUUAUACGAGUCUAUGACUUCCAAAAAAAAUAAAAAUUGGGCGGGGCGAAGUUCGCCGGGUCAGCUAGUGUAUAUAUAAAUAAUGCAUUUAUGUACUAUAUAGCAACGGGCAAGUGAUCUAGUUUUGCAGAUUUGUGCGUCGAUAUUGAGCAAACGCGUUUGUUUUGAAAUGUACAUAGAUAACUCAGCUGCCGAUAAGCCCGAUUGCGGGAAUAGUACAUACUUACGUUAUUUCUACGCACAACGAUGAUUAUUUUUAUCAUUUGUAUGUAUGUAUGUGUAUUAGGGAGGACAAUUUCCGGCUCUUAGUAAAGUUUGUUAAUAGCACCAGAUUCUUAUAUUUUCCGGAAAGGAAAGUAACUGUCUUAAAUUGGACAAGUGACAAGUGUGUAUACAAGUUUCAAUCUUAAUUUACAUACAAUGUAGUUCAAUAUGAAUUAACUAAAGAUGUUUCAUUAUUUUUCUUUUAGGCGUUGGCUGCCAGUGUACGAGUAUUAUCGGCGAUAACGACAAAAAUCUACUCCCAGGUGCCAAGCAAAAAAAAUACAUGAUACGUAAACCAGUCGCACACCCUAAUGUACUUCAGCACUCUUAUAAGACGAGUAAAAAUCACACUAGAUUUAACUUUUCUUUUAAAUCAGCUCAAAUCAUAAAUAUACAAGCUCAUUGCUGUUGCAACCGCAGUGAAGUAAUGUUAUUUUUAUAGAAAUACCGCUUAAUAACGAAAUAAAUCGGUAUUUUUUAUACGUUCGUUUGAAUGCUCGUAAUUUUUUUCAGUUAAAAUGUUAAUUAUUUUAAUAACAAUGCAUUUGUGAUUAUGAAAAUGUGAAUAUUUAAAAUAUAAAAUAAAUUAAGAAUUCAUUUUACACAUGUCUGUGAUCUACAUAUAAACAAUCGCAAAUGCAAGUGGCAGAUAGUGGCAAAAACAAUCAACCAACAUUUAGUAUACGUAUGUACAUAUGUACGAUUGUUUAUAACAAAUGUAGAUAAUUUGAGUGAUAUUUGUGCGAAAGAAGUAAGCAAAUCUUCACACUUCGGAAAGUGAUAAAAAGUAUUUCACAUUGAUAGAUUGUGAAAAUAAAUUAUUUAUAAUCUGCUAUGUACUUUUGCGUGUUGCUGCAUUGACACUGUUCGUAUUAAACAACAGAUAACAGUAACAAUAAUAACACACAAUAAAAAGUACAAAUCAGUAUUUAAUUCUGUUUACUUAAGAAGUACGAAGACUGCACCAUUUAGUAUAUGUAUAUGUAGUUUGGAUGAGCAUGGAAGAUCUCAAUAUUUGCACCAUAUCUUUAGUGAUAAUAGUAUUCAUACUGUUCAUCAUUCGGGGAACGAUAGAGACAAGACUGCAAUAACCAAGGGCAUAAAAAAACUAACUGUAAAGCUUCCAUCUGUAUUGCUACUACUAGGCUAAGGUACCGUUAGUCAAAUGAUGCAAGACGAGAAAACCCGUUUAAAUUCACUCAAAAAUUACAUAUUGGUAGUUAUUGCAGGUGUCUUACCCAAAGAUCACAACGAAAAAUAUUAAAAUGAAAGUGUUUAAAAGAAGAAUAAAAUAUAAGUACUAAAAAAAAAACUUUCCGACUAAGAUUUCUUAAAUAUUUAUU